CAAUAUAAAACAAUUAUGAAUGAGAUAGUUUACCUUCUUUUUUUUUUUAAAACUACGUCUCUGAAACCUGGUGUGUAUUUCACAUGCACAGCACAUCACAGUUUGGACAGCCACAUCUCACGUGCUCAGUAGCCAUGCGCAGAGAGCGUCCAUGGUGUCUUAUGGCCCUAGGUCUGGACAGUGCUGUCCUAGAGCACUAUUUUCUUUCACUGGUGGUUGUUGAUCCUGAGUAAUAAUCGUGACUUAAGCUUAUGUUUAUAGGAGGUUUACCAUUCCUCAAAGAAUCUUCACAUUCUUCAAGCCAUCGGAUCUCAUUUGAGCCACUUUUGACAGUAGAAAGUGAAGCCAAAAAAAUCCGUCCGUGUUACCUGGGCAGUCAGUAGCAGACUCAGGUCUCCCGGUUCCUGGAGCGGUGGACUUCCCACCAGAACCACGAGGCAGGAUGCUGCGGCAGGCCAUGAGGUUACCGGGGAUGCGGAGAAAGAGACAAGAAGUCAAGGUAGCCACAAAGGCUGUCAGCGAAGGGUCAGACCUAUCUGUGACCUAAAACCUACUGAACUGUACACGCCAAGUGGGUGAAAUGUAUGGUAUGGAAAUUGUAUCUCAAUACAGUUGUUAAAGGAGAGAGAAUGAGAGAGAGAGAGAAGCCAGCCAGUGUGCUGCUUUCUUUUCAGGAGCCCAAGAGUCAGAGAGGAGUGCCUCUGCCAAUGACAGCACCAUCUUUCAUCUGUAAGUUUUUGUAUUGUCAAAUUAUGUUAAUCAAGGGAAGUAAACAUUUUUUGACAGCAAAGUGAGGUGCCCCCAAGAUCCUGAAAUAAAUCAUCCCCAGAAUUUGCAUUAUCCCUGAUAAAAGCAGUACUCAACUAACGAGCGUGUGUCUAAAUAUACCUUGAAGGUACAGACAGGCCCCGGGCCUGCAGGACAUUCCGUAGGCUGGUUGGAGAGGUGGCCUGGCUAAGGAAGUCUAUGCCAAGCAGAAAAGCCAGAGCCUGGGCAGAUGUCUCCUGCUCAUUGCCGUCUCCCGGGUGUUUAGCCCAGGCCCGGGCCCAUAUGGCACACUCAGAGAUUAUCUGUUGAGUGAAUAUUAAGAGGAGAGGGUGCCAUGGGACAAGAAUUCAACCCCCUUGGGGCAGAAGCAAGAAUGUCUCUAAGUCGGGCCUGGAUUCAUCUUACCUGAGUCUAAUGUCAACAAUGUCAGGGCCCCUCCCCCCGCCCUGACUCCCCCAUAAUUCUUGGACUUUUCCUGCACCUGUUAAAGGAAGGAAGUGGAUGGAUGGCAUGCUGACAUCCCCUUUGCCGUGCUGUUUCUUCGUGUAGGUUAAGGACUCACUGGCACACAGAUUGGAACUUCUGUCUAUUUUGCGUCUGCCUGUCUGCCUCUUUGCUUUUUGUUCUGGUGGUUGUUUUGUUGUAGGUGAGCCAAAAUCCCCAGGUGUGAACAGCUGGAACCCUGAAAGAAUGAGAUGCCUAGCCCGGCAAGAUGAGGCUGCCAAAGAGAGGCCAUUUGGGUCUCCGAAUUCUCAGGGAGAAGCCUGGAGCUAUCUCCCUACCGUUCGUUAUUCCAAUGCCAGCGGUUUAACUGGAAAAGCCUUAGUUUAAGAGAAAUUCUGAAUCAUAUCCUACAGAAGUUCCACACUUCCCACAGGACCAGAGGACACAGACUCCUUUAUGACGCUAUAGCCCUGAGUGUUGUAGCGGCUGCAGGAGCCGCUCAGGGCUUGGUUUGGGGGCUGGAUCCGGCACCUUGUGGAUGUUAGAUGGAGAGAAAUGCUUGGCCUCGGCUCUGGAAAAGCACAGGCUCACUGUGCUCCUCCCACCACAAGGACGGUUAGGAAGAGAGGCCGAGACCAUCUUGUGGGAGUUCUGGGGAUUCUCUGAGCUGGGGCUGGUGCCACACGGCCUUCUCAAGGAUGCCCUGGCAUCAAGACAGUGGGAUGCGAGACACAGGUGCAGCUCUGCCUGUGUCCACUCACAGUCACUGACCUUGGAGAAGCCACUUAGCCUCCUGGAAAUUUGCUGUCCUCGUCUUUGAAAUGGACGUACUUAGAUAUACCUCUGGGCGUUGCUGAAAGCAGGUGGCCAUGGGUGGGCUGCCUUCCUCUUUGAUGGGGACUCUGUUCAGACCAGGAGUGAUCCUGUGGGGCUGCCCUCUGGAGCUCCGUUGCCCAGGCCUGGCACUGGCCUGAGGAGGAGCAGAGGGAGGAUGCUCCUGUUUCAGGCCUGCUCCCAGCCCGGGUCCCAGGCUCCCAUGACGUGGUGAGAGGCGGGGAUGUUCCAGCAGAGGGUUAGGGAAGGUUGGAGUCAGGGGGAGAGCACUGAGAAGCUCAGUUCAAUGAGGAGGAUAGCGAUGAAUUUAAACAAGAAAAGAAAAAAGAGAAAAGGAAAGGAGAGAAAAGAAAAGAAAAAAACAAGGCUAAUAUCCUGAAAGGAUUUGACUUGAUGAAAGAAAGGAUUUAGGCUGUAGGACAGUUGACAGAUGUUCUGCCCGUGGGGCCAUAUGAGGAAAAAGAAACAAGUGAGACGAAAGAAGCGAUGCCUCAGUAACGUCUGAAGGUGCAGCCCAUUUUUAAAGAGGAAAAUGGGUCUCGCAUGUGCCUGGAGGCAGAAUACAGACAGAAGGAGUUAUGGUGUUUUGGAAACGGUGACAGGAGGGUCUCAUGGUUUCCAGGGCUCUCCUGGGCCCCAGUCCCCAUGGAGUGCAGGAUAUUACUGUCCAGAAAAGGAGAGUGACCCAGGCCACCUAAACUCAACGUCUGUUCUGGUCUCAGAGGACUCGCUGUCCUUACAGAGUGGUUUGACUGGGAAGGAGAGCCUUCAGGGGGACAUGCAUGUGGCCUGGUGUGUGGGAACAAGGCUGACUGGAAGCCUGGGGGCGAGCUUGUUUCAGGCCUGGUGAAGUGGCUGAAUGGAGCCCUGUGUCUCCAGUUGGAGAGCAAGCUGGGGCUAAGAGAAUAUUUCACUGAAACUGGGAGCACCCAUGGUGGGUGAUUCAGGAAUACACCCAGGUAACCUGGGGACUUGGAUUCUUAACACAGGAACGUCAUGGUCACUCUUUAAAAGAAGCAGGAAUCACUGCUGUGCUAGGGAUACGCGGACCCCAGUGUUGGUGAGGUGGCCUGCUCUUCGGCAGCAGCUGAGAAAGCCAGCUGUGGCUCCGAAUGGUGGGAGACAAACUGAGACGAACACCCAGACUCCUCGACUGCCAAGGGACCAGAGCCCACGCCAAAGCCCAUGAAGAUAGCAAACCCCUAGCAAGGAGUGCUCUGCUGGCACUGGCCAAAGUUGGGGAGCUGCUUAGGAAGCCACCAGAAAAGACUGAGGGAGGGGUCACUGGAGCUUCCCAAGGGAAGCAGGCAGAGUCUCAAACUAAACAUCUUGAAAUUAGAGGAGUGGGCACAUUCAAGAGAAUAAAAGAAUAAAAGAGAAGGAGAGCGGGUUGGGGGGUGGGCACGGAGGAGAGCUCAGAGAGCAGGAGAGUGCACGGGGAUGCCUUCCUUCUAGUGUGCAAAUCACCAGGGGCAGUGUCAAGGAACAGUAGAUUAGGUAAGGCCCCUUGUGGUCAUCCAGUCCCCAUGGGUCUGCUCAGUGACAGCUCCCUGACUUGUCAGUACGACAUUUGUGGACUUAAGACUAUGUGCCAGGAUCUGGUAUGUAGGAAGCUUUAUUCCAUACAUUUUUUUCUUUACUCCCAGUUAAUCCUCACAACAGACUGCAAGAAGGGCAUUAUCUCCAUUUUACAGAUGAAGAAACUGGAGCUCAGAGAAGUUAAAUAACUUGUUCUGGGUCACAGUCAGUUAGUGGAAGAGCUAAGUCUCAAGCUCACAUCUUUGUGAUCCAAGCCUUCGCGUUCCAUCACGCCGAGCCACUUCCUCCCGGGGGGCAGAGCCCCUCCCUCCACACUGUCUGAGCUGCCUCCUCCAGUACCUUGCAAGGUCAACUCAGAUGGCCUAGCAGCUUGAAGUCAGUCCUCGGGCUCCGUGGCAGAUUAAAGAUGACAAAAGUUCUUAGGCAUGCCUCCACUGAGAGGUGGGAUCUGUGUCCCCUCCCUUUGAAUCUGGUGGCCUUUGUUGAAUCACUUGUGGAGUAAGGGGUACUAUGUGGCCUCCAAGGCGAGGCAAGAAGAAAUAUUGCGACUUUGGUCUCGGUCUCAUGGCGCACUCACUUCUGGACAUUCCUCUGGUGGUAUCUCUGUGUGGAGCCAGCCCCCAUGCUGUGAAAAGCCUGGCCCGUGGAGGGACCCAUGGGGGUGCCCUGGUUGGCAGCCUCAGCUGAGCUCCCAGCUGAAAGUCAACAUCACCUGCCAGCCAAGUAAGUCACCUUGGAAAACUAGUCUGCAUGGGCAUAGAAUCCCUAGCAGAUAUCUGAUAAUAACCACUUAACCAAUUCCCUGUGAGGGCUUCCCUAUCGAGCCCACUCGAAUCCCUGACCCUUAGACUGUGAGCAAAACAAAUGGCUGUUUUAAGUGGCUGACUUUGAGAGUAAUUAACUGCAUAGCAAUGGACAACCACCAGGGUGCCUCUGUGAAUAUCUGGGUCCAGAUGAGCCACAUGUAGGUUGUGGGGGUGUCACAUGAUGCAGAGCAUCAGAGGGGGGCAGGCUUGCCUGCUCUGCUCAGAUAGACUAAGCGAUUUCUCUUGACAAUGCCACCUGGAGUGCAAUCUCAAACUCAUAACCAGUAAACUUCCAAGGAGAGAGUCUGGGAGCAGACUUUUAAUUAGUGAGUGGUGAACUCAUCUCAGAAAGAACGAAGAAGGGCAGCAGGACCGGGAGCAGAGAUGAGUUCAGAAGCUGCCCAGAUGGAUUUCUGAGAUGUACAAGGACCCAGGGACGGCAGGUGGAGAAAACAGAGGCAGAAAAUCAAACACCGUGCGUACUGGCAUGAAUGGCACGGUGACAUUUUACCCUUAUUGUCAACUCUGCUUCUCAUUUUGCCAGGGAGCUUGUUUCAGGAUUUGAGCUCCCCUGGGACAGGGUUCAUGUUAGUCAUUGUCCCCGAGCUGAAGAAAUGGGUCUUUCUCUUCUGAAAACCAUCUCACAAUUUACUGAGCUGCCUGGAAGUUGGCGUUUCUGUGCCCGGCCACUGUAAGCAUCCAUAGAUUGGGGGAUGCACUUCAAUAUGUCAUGUUUUGUCCCCAAACAUGGUUUUGCAUAAAUAUGAUUUAAAACUCAGCACAACUUGUGUUUUGAAAAUCACACAUGUGGAUUCCCAAAACCUUGUAAUUCCCCAAACUUCAUCUUAAUGUCUUGAAAUACAACUUGCCUGUCUUCCAAAUGCUGAAAACAGUUGGUGGUGUCCUGCUGUGCAGGUGUAAGCUGAGUAGAAUUUCGUCUUUUGGUUCCGAGUCUUGUAAGAGUCCAAACUUUGAAAAUAAAGUCAGGCCUCCAGGCCUCAACUAGAGGAGAGAGAACGACAAGGCAUGGACCAGUGUGCGCGGGCAUGCUGUCCUCUCUGGUGGGCAGGGACAGCUCCUGCCCUGCGAGGAGUGUGAGGAAGGAAGAUGGAUUGGAGACAGGG
rnacentral:lncRNA from 1 species